rnacentral:lncRNA from 1 species
AAGCAAGCUAAUGUAUGUGGAUGUGUUUGAGAAACAAUAAAGCACUUCACAGGACAGGAGUGAUGACAGAAACCUGAGGCCCUGCUAAUUCACACCAAGACAACACCAAGAAUAAGGACAGGGAGGUACGGACCUAAGCUGCCUCUUCCAGGUAAAACAAUUAGCCUUGUGCAUGGAGGGAAGGCAAGGACAGGGCGAAGCGCAGGAAAUAGGGUUAAAUGUGUGCUACACCCAGAGUGUGGAGGUAAGGAAUGUGUUCUGAGGCAGCCUGGCAGCAGGGAAGCCUGACAGGCUCUGCAUGAAGAGCUGUCUUGCCUAGGAGUGGCUUAGAAAUUG